rnacentral:rRNA from 1 species
UACGUAGGGGGGCAAGCGUUGUCCGGAUUUAUUGGGCGUAAAGAGCGUGUAGGCGGCUUUACAGGUCCGUUGUGAAAACUCGAGGCUCAACCUCGAGACGCCGGUGGAAACCGUAAAGCUAGAGUCCGGAAGAGGAGAGUGGAAUUCCUGGUGUAGCGGUGAAAUGCGCAGAUAUCAGGAGGAACACCAGUGGCGAAGGCGGCACUCUGGGCCGGUACUGACGCUGAGGAGCGAAAGCGUGGGGAGCGAACAGG